UGUUUACAGCCAUACUACCCUGAAAAUGCCCCCAUCUUGGAAGCUAAACAAGGUUGAGUCUGGGUAGUUCUUGGUGGAAGAUCUGCAGUUCUAC
rnacentral:rRNA from 1 species